GGGUGCGAUCAUACCAGCACCAAUGCAUUGGAUCCCAUCAAAACUCCAUAGUGAAGCGUGCUUGGGAGAGAGUAGUACUAGGAUGGGUGACCUCCUGGGAAGCCCUCGUGUUGCACCCC
rfam:Arabis alpina cultivar Pajares scaff_51592_1_contig_1, whole genome shotgun sequence.